rnacentral:rRNA from 1 species
CUGGUGCGAGUGUUCAGCGUUGGUGCUGCUUGGAGGUGGUGAAUGACAAGGUAUAGGUGGAGGUGGAGAUCGAGGAGGGGCUGGUGCGAGAGCGGUUAGGUUCGAUGGAUCGAUUCCCAUCGCUCCUCCUACGGCUCCGGUACCUCUCUCCACGACCGCAGCCGAUGGUUCACGACCUCGCGCCUCCUCCUGCUGCUCCGGCGUCUGCGAUCCUUGAUGGCGGGCGGGUUGAGGCUCAAGAGCGCGGCGGAGCGGAGGAAGGCCGCGGAUAGCCGGAACCGGUUGCCGGGGCGGUGCGGGUGCCUGCCGUUCCUACUGCUCCUGUUGGGGCUGCCGCACCCCCUCUACCCGCACCCGUGGUACGUCGUCGACGUGAGAAAGUCGGAGUCGCUCGAGGCACCGCAGUGCGUACUGAAGAGGUCGCCUAUGGAGGAGCCGCUUCCUCCCAAGCCGCGGCACGUGUUUCCGAAGCAGCUGCGGCCGUACGCCGGGCCGGAGCUCGGGGUCGGGCAACGGCAGUUCGUCGAGUUGUAGCGGCCGGUGGUUCCGGUGUCCCUCACCGACCGGCUCCACUAGAAGGAACCCGUCAAGGCCGUGGUCGUGGACAACUUCGAUGAACCCAUGACGAUACUCCUGCUCCUCGCGGAGGAGCAGAUACUCAAGUACGGCGCGCCGUCGGAGCUGUUGGUGGAGAAAUUUUCCUAUAGGCGCUGCGACGGCACCUUGUGAUCCGAGUUCCAGCGGUAGUCGUGGCGGUUCCCGCAGCGGAAGGAGGUACCGCCGUUCGUCGGACAGUAGAUGUCUCUGAACUUCCGCAGGUUGUAGGAGGAUCUGAGCCAUUCAAGUGAGCAAAAGCAAGUGCUUAACUGUGUUAGCUUAGCCUAGAUUGGUCUAGAUGGUUCUCAGCCCUGAGUGCUCAGUGCUAACUCAAUUGGAACAACUUGUCCUGAAGUGCCGCUUCGAUAGCCUGAAGCCUGACCGGUUCUACCCGGGGCUCCCCCUACUCUGUGUGCAUUCGUGGGCACACUACCCGUGGGUGCCAAUACGCCGAGGACUCAUGCACGUCUGCCCGGUGGAGUGCCACUUCUCGCUACAGAUGUCGAAGCCGCACCACGAUGACCUCGAGGAUUGCCCGGCAGCGCGGUACCUCGUGCAGGGGCCGGCCUGGCGCGCGCGGCUCGUCUGGUAGUUCGAGCACCUCACCUGGGCCGGGAUGGAGCGAUCGUCGGCGGCGGACGCGACGUAGUACCUGGUCUUCGAGAGCCCCGUGAUGAGGCAGUUCCCGCGGGCGCGGUACCGCGUGGACCGGCACGUCACGUGCUCGGGCGUCGGGGCUCUGUCCGGUUCAUACCGGCGAUAGCACCUCCGCGAGCUCGUCGAGCUCCCCGAGUUCCUGUACCGACAGUCGUACCCGGAGAAAACCGGGUGCCGAGGGCGCCGGCCCUCUUUGCGUGAGAGGCGGUUUAAAGCCCGACUCUACUUCCCGCGGCCGUGGCCACGACAGGGCGCUGCCUCUUGGCGCAGGCGGUUGGAUAGCACUAGAAGAACGGUACAUGCGUAACAUACACGCGGACAACACGCACACAUAUAUCUUUUAAUAAGAUUGGCGUGCCUGUAAGUGUCCCGAAAUGCCUCAAAAGAAGAUUGAUUAGAGACGAGGGGGGGGGGGGGCCGUCUAAAAGUCGGCCCCCACCCCGGGAGGUGGAUUAAACUAGGUUGGGUUUAAAGAUCGAUCCGGAGGGGUAACUAGGGCAUAAUAGGGACGGGCACACAUAUCGUUUCGAGAAACAUAUCGAUGACAUUAUUACAACAAAAUGCACCGUUGACUUCGAACGCGGCCAACCGAGGGUACGUGCGCUUGACGGAUACCCGGGGUGCGUGGCGACUUAGGGAACUCGGAAUAGGGGAGAGGAAAGCAUGGCAGAAGAUGUGGUGUGUGUGGAGACAGUGCAGCAAACUUGAUGUUAAAAUGUCCCGGUAGGUCACGGUCUUUGGGAGCUGCCGACCAUAUGUCCCACAUACCUUGGUGUUGCUGUUCACGAUGUUGGUCGUGGGGGCCACGAACUCUGCUACCUGUGUUCACGACCUUUGGACACCGCCGGCUAUAAGUCCCACGUACCUUGGUGCCGCUGUUCACGACCUCUAGGCCGCUCCAAAUAAAACGAUCUUUGCCGUUUCGUGUCUGCCGCCAUUAAAAAACGACCUUGAUUGGGCUUUAAAACGAUGGCGUAGAAGUCAAAACGACCUUGGUCAACAAAAAAAACGAUGGUCAGUUUAAAAACGAUGAUACAAAACAAAAACAACCUUGGGCACAUGUAGAACGAUGGUGAUACACCCCAAAACGAUGAUGGCCGCAGCUAAACGAUAUAGGUAUAGUACUGUAGCAGCUCUGGGCGCUUGAUACACAAAAAACGACGUUAGCAAGAGUCAAAACGAUGACGGCAACAACUGCUAACGAUGUAGGAUG